rnacentral:lncRNA from 10 species
GAAUAAAUGAGAUAAUGAAAAAUGGCCCCUCCUGAGUCACUCUGGAAUCUGGAAGGACUGUGGGCUAUUUCUCCAUGUGGGAUGACCUGUGCCUUCUGGAGAGUUGACACUGCAAAAUCUGAAAAUGGCUCACUAUGCAGAGACAGUGCAGGGCAGGAGUGGAGUCCGAUCUCCAGAACCAGGCUUGAAUUCUGACACUGGGACAUCCUUGCUAUGUGACUCCGACCAAUUCACUUGACCUCUCUGGACUUGGCAUAAGAAGGGGAGAAUAGAAAUAUCUGUCACAUGGGGUUGCUGUAAGGAUUGAAGUGUGCCUAUCACUAUUCAAUAUUCAAUACAUAUUAGUUUUUACUAAUCUAAAAAAUAAAAUGUAAAAAUAAGAAAGGGAGA